AACGGCCGUACCAUGCUGAAUAUACCGGUUCUCGUUAGAUCACCGAAGUUAAGCAUCAUUGGGCGUGGUCAGUACUUGGGUGGGAACAGGUCAGUACCUGGGAACACUGCGUGCCGUU